CCCGAGGAAAAGAAAUCAACCGAGAUUCCCCCAGUAGCGGCGAGCGAACGGGGAGGAGCCCAGAGCCUGAAUCAGCAUGUGUGUUAGUGGAAGCGUCUGGAAAGGCGCGCGAUACAGGGUGACAGCCCCGUACACAAAAGCGCAUGUGCUGUGAGCUCGAUGAGUAGGGCGGGACACGUGGUAUCCUGUCUGAAUAUGGGGGGACCAUCCUCCAAGGCUAAAUACUCCUGACUGACCGAUAGUGAACCAGUACCGUGAGGGAAAGGCGAAAAGAACCCCGGCGAGGGGAGUGAAAAAGAACCUGAAACCGUGUACGUACAAGCAGUGGGAGCACAGGUUUACCUGUGUGACUGCGUACCUUUUGUAUAAUGGGUCAGCGACUUAUAUUCUGUAGCAAGGUUAACCGUAUAGGGGAGCCGGAGGGAAACCGAGUCUUAACCGGGCGUUAAGUUGCAGGGUAUAGACCCGAAACCCGGUGAUCUAGCCAUGGGCAGGUUGAAGGUUGGGUAACACUAACUGGAGGACCGAACCGACUAAUGUUGAAAAAUUAGCGGAUGACCUGUGGCUGGGGGUGAAAGGCCAAUCAAACCGGGAGAUAGCUGGUUCUCCCCGAAAGCUAUUUAGGUAGCGCCUCGUGAAUUCAUCUCCGGGGGUAGAGCACUGUUUCGGCUAGGGGGCCAUCCCGGCUUACCAACCCGAUGCAAACUGCGAAUACCGGAGAAUGUUAUCACGGGAGACACACGGCGGGUGCUAACGUCCGUCGUGAA
rnacentral:rRNA from 1 species